rnacentral:rRNA from 1 species
CAGCCGCCGCGGGAAUACGGAGGGGGCUAGCGUUGUUCGGAAUUACUGGGCGUAAAGCGCACGUAGGCGGCUUUGUAAGUUAGAGGUGAAAGCCCGGAGCUCAACUCCGGAAUUGCCUUUAAGACUGCAGAGCUAGCAGGUGAGAGAGGUGAGUGGAAUUCCGAGUGUAGAGGUGAAAUUCGUGGAUAUUCGGAAGAACACCAGUGGCGAAGGCGGCUCACUGGCUCAUACUGGACGCUGAGGUGCGAAAGCGUGGGGAGCAAACAGGAUUAGAUACCCCCGUAGUCCCUGUCUCUUAUAC